GACGAACGCUGGCGGCGUGCUUAACACAUGCAAGUCGAACGGAAAGGCCUCUUUCGGGGGGUACUCGAGUGGCGAACGGGUGAGUAACACGUGAGUAACCUGCCCUUGACUUUGGGAUAACUUCAGGAAACUGGGGCUAAUACCGGAUAGGAGCUCCUGCUGCAUGGGGGGGGUUGGAAAGUUUCGGCGGUUGGGGAUGGACUCGCGGCUUAUCAGCUUGUUGGUGGGGUAGUGGCCUACCAAGGCUUUGACGGGUAGCCGGCCUGAGAGGGUGACCGGCCACAUUGGGACUGAGAUACGGCCCAGACUCCUACGGGAGGCAGCAGUGGGGAAUAUUGCACAAUGGGUGGAAGCCUGAUGCAGCAACGCCGUGUGCGGGAUGACGGCCUUCGGGUUGUAAACCGCUUUCGCUCAUGACGAAGCUUUGUGUGACGGUAGUGGGUAAAGAAGCACCGGCUAACUACGUG
rnacentral:rRNA from 1 species